rnacentral:rRNA from 1 species
CCUACGGGUGGCAGCAGUGGGGAAUAUUGGGCAAUGGAGGCAACUCUGACCCAGCAACGCCGCGUGAAUGAUGAAGGUCUUCGGAUUGUAAAGUUCUUUUCUAAGGGAAGAAGAAAGUGACGGUACCUUAGGAAUAAGCCCCGGCUAACUACGUGCCAGCAGCCGCGGUAAUACGUAGGGGGCGAGCGUUAUCCGGAAUGACUGGGCGUAAAGGGAGUGUAGGCGGCAUAUUAAGUUAUGUGUGAAAGCCCGCGGCUCAACCGCGGAAUUGCACAUAAAACUGGUAAGCUGGAGUGCAGGAGAGGUAAGUGGAAUUCCCGGUGUAGCGGUGGAAUGCGUAGAUAUCGGGAGGAACACCAGAGGCGAAGGCGACUUACUGGACUGUAACUGACGCUGAGGCUCGAAAGCGUGGGGAGCAAACAGGAUUAGAUACCCCUGUAGUC